GCCCAGUUGGCGGAAUUGGUAGACGCACUUGGUUUAGGUCCAAGCGCCGAGAGGUGUGGGGGUUCGAGUCCCUCACUGGGCA
rnacentral:tRNA from 1 species